CACGACCAGAACCCGGAUGCCGCCCUGCGUGCGCUGCACCAGGGGGACAGCCUGGAGUGCACAGCCAUGACAGUGCAGAUCCUGCUGAAGCUGGACCGCCUGGACCUCGCCCGGAAGGAGCUGAAGAGAAUGCAGGACCUGGACGAGGAUGCCACCCUCACCCAGCUCGCCACUGCCUGGGUCAGCCUGGCCACGGAGAUGGCUGACAAGUGCUCGCCCACCCUGCUGCUGCUCAAUGGGCAGGCGGCCUGCCACAUGGCCCAGGGCCGCUGGGAGGCCGCUGAGGGCCUGCUGCAGGAGGCGCUAGACAAGGAUAGUGGCUACCCAGAGACGCUGGUCAACCUCAUCGUCCUGUCCCAGCACCUGGGCAAGCCCCCUGAGGUGACAAACCGAUACCUGUCCCAGCUGAAGGAUGCCCACAGGUCCCAUCCCUUCAUCAAGGAGUACCAGGCCAAGGAGAACGACUUUGACAGGCUGGUGCUACAGUACGCUCCCAGCGCCUGAGGCUGGCCCAGAGCUGUCAGGACCAUGAAGCCAGGACAGAGGCCAGGAGCCAGCCCUGCAGCCCUCCCCACCCGGCAUCCACCUGCAUCCCCUCUGGGGGCAGGAGCCCACCCCCAGCACCCCCAUCUGUUAAUAAAUAUCUCAACUCCAGGGUGUUCCACCU
rnacentral:lncRNA from 1 species